CGUUGUUAAAAUGUCUGGGAAGAGGAAACUAGACAUUUCAACACAGAAUGAGUGAUGAAACAAAAGGUUCAAGUGAAUUUAACGUGAAGCCAGGAAGAUCUGUCACUGUCAUUUUCCUUGGCAUUUUCUGAACAGGCUGGAAGCUAACAUAUCAGUCUAUGUUACUGAAAUGACUAGAAGUGUUGUUUACUCUUUUGUCUACUACUGCCUCACCUGGCCUGUUGUUUCAGUUCCCUAUCCAUUUGAAUCACCUUUUAAAAUACCAGGAUUCCUUUAAUUUGUACGUAAGUAUUUGGAUAUCUCAGAAACUGUAAAGAGCUCUGAACAAGAAAGUCUGUUAAAUGCUUGAAUUAAUCAGUCAUCAAUGGAUAGUCUCUGAUAAUAGAUGUGCCAAGCAAAUGCAUGGCUUGACACAUCCAACAUCCUUCCUUAAAUGUCCAUAAUACUUUAAAAUGAGACAUUGCUAGUGGCUGUUAUAAAGGAUGUGCUGUGUUUUCUAUCAAAUGCAAAGUGGAAGGCUUGAAAUGGAAAGAUGUCCUAUUCUGCAGAACAAUGAUGCAGUGCACUUAGGAUAAUUAUGUUCCAUUGACUGUCUCCCCCAUGGAUACAUCAAGUGUGACUGUGCAUAUUUCUAUUCAGAAAUAACAUGCAAGUAAGUAUGCACAAAACAGCUACUACUUGAAGCAGCAAUCAUGCAAGCAUAUGUAUAGUUUGUCUUUGGUCCAAUUUCAUUUAAUGUCUAUAUGUUUUAAAGGAUAAGGUUGGUGAUAUUCUAUAUUUUUCUACUUGUCAACAAACCCCAUGAAAAUACUGAAAUGAUGAAUAGAUACUACUAACAAGUAUUGCCUGUGUAACCAAAGCCUGCUAUGGCUUAUUCCUUUGUGCCAUAGAGCUCAACUGUUGUCCAAAAACUACUAAAAACACAUCAAUGAGCCACAAUGUGUGUCACGAUGAGUGACAUGUUCCAUCAUGACAAUGAACUGUAGUUAUUUUGAGUACUCACUAGAGCACCAAAUGAGUCCCCAAUUUACUCUUUGUCACAACAUCAACCUAAUUCUAGUUCCACAUUUUCUAUCUGCUCUCUUCCCUUGCCAUAUACAAACUCUUCUGUGCCCUGCAGUAACCCCUGUAUUUCUGUCAUUUCCCAUUACACCUGCCCCGCCCACCUGCACACCUGUUCCCACUUCGCCAUUAACCUUGCAGUAUAUAUACCGGCCAAUUCCUAUUCAUUCUUUGUCUUUCUCAUUCUUUAAUGUGUUUUCAACUUAGCUUUCUAGCACUUUUCAUUGCCUGCCUGAUCCCCUGCUUGUUUUUAGACUUCUGCCCCUUUGCCUGAUGUCUUACUGGGAAAAAGGAAACAGAUCGGGUGUGUCCCAGUCUUCCAUGAGUCGUGCGCUCCCCUUGGUCAUCAAAGCCCUCAUCAGGUCAUCACCCAGUGACUUCACGGCCCUCAGGUGACACGGCAUUAACAGCACUCAUUAUCUGUCCCCAUUCCUUGGUUUUAGCAGGUCCUUUAAUUCCACUGCUGAUGCUGUUAGAAAUUACAGACUUGCUUAUGGAUCUCCGAAAGCAGCACUUCAAUCUCUGAACUCAUGGAGUUCUUCUUUUUACUCUUCUGUGCCAUUUUCACGAGGAACACGUCCUGACAUGUGGGGCAGGAUGAGUAGGCUUUCCACUGUAACCCGGUUACUAAAGGAAGGCACAUCAUGUGAACUUUAAUUUUCCUAGGAAAGUCUUAACUCGCUGGACAAGCAAUAGACUACUUUGUGGUUGUUGAACACACUUUUGGAUCCUGAUCGUUAUUCCCCAUAAUGGUCCCAUACCUGAAGGAACAUUUCGACCGUUAGAACUGCAGACAGCACGGACCUGGUUCCGUCAGUAUCCGGCCUUGAGAGGAUUUCACCUGAAAACUAGACGGACUGACGCAUUAAAUCGCUAUCAAGAGCGAUCUCAAGUAAGAGGCUUGUGUCUGGGCAGAGAUAGAUUUUAUAACUGUGUUAUUUCAUCUAAGCUUCAUUGUUGUGAAUUGUGCUGUGCUUAUUUUGGAAAGUAGCGGACUGCCGCGUCCUGUUUUGCUGUGAUUUUUUUUUUUGUGUGCUUAGCACGUUCCAUUUUGUGUCUGUACCAUGCCACUGGACCACUUAACUGUGUUAGUUUAGCCACUAUGGAAGCUAAUAACUGUGCUUUAUCAGACCAAAGUCCAGUAACACGGCUGUUGAAUGAAAGUUUGCUGCUGGGUUCCUGUGUGAUAAAGGAACAGCUAUUGUGCUCUGCCAUGGCAUUUGAGAUUUCUUGUGCUUUACUCUGUGUGCUUUCAUUCUCUUUCCUCUCCACUAGCCCACACACCUUUACACAUACAUAUACACUACACACACACACACACACACACACACACACACACACACACAUCUCAAAUGAACCAGAUAGUGUGGUAGCAUAACUAGUUAUGCUCCACGUUAUCUUGAGGACAAAUAAAGCGCGUCCUCCAAUCGGGCGGUCCCCUUUGUUUGAGUUUUACGUGUCUGCAUGUGAUAACCACCCACGUGGUAAUGUCCGUCGUCUGAUUGUUGUAUGCUUAUUGUGUUUAGAUUAAACAGUAUUUUCAGAUUUUUAUAUUAACAUAAGUACCAUAGCCGCUCAAUACA